ACAUGAGAAAUGUCCCACACCUCAACCCUUUUGAUGCCCCAUUUGGAUAAGAAUGAAGUGGUUUUUGAUUUGAAUUCAAAAUGAUUUGAAUUUGAACUGAUUCAAACCACUUCAUCCUUAUCCCUUUCCUCUCCAUGCCAUCUUUAAAUUAUCUCAAAAUUUUGUGUGACAAAGGUUAGGAAAUCAUCACAAAAAAUUAUUUUUCAAUAAGAGGGGGCAUGAAACAGAGAGGGGGUGGGCUUCUGUGCAUGAGAAAUAAAGGAAGAGUCCUUUUUCUUUGAGCGUGAGGUUUAGGGUGGGUUCUAGGGUUUCGACUCUAGUUUUUGUGUGAGAAAAAAUACAAAAGGGUCUUGUUCUUGUCUCUCACACCACCACCUCCUUGAGUAGCUCCAUCUUUUGAUCUAAAAGUAUCCAGGUGAUCCAAAGGAAGGAGCCUUUUUCAGUCAUUCAGUGCCUUCUGCGCGAGCUAGCACUCCCAGGAAGGAUGAUCCAUUCAGAGCUUCGAGUGGACUGUCUGU
rnacentral:lncRNA from 1 species